rnacentral:lncRNA from 1 species
GGAUCCCAGGUUGAUGCAGCUCUGAGUAGUCCUCACUUACUGCCUGGACUCUCAGCUAUACCUGGUCUCUGAAAAGCAGCUGUGGAGUAUUUUAGGAGGCCCAUCCACAAAGAAAAGCAGAAUCCAAAAUUGGUCUUGCUUAGGUGUUCAGCCUGCCUGCUUUGUGCCCUCUGGAUGGCUCUGUACCUUUUCCCUGUACGUUUCUCAUGCUUAUCAUGCUCCUGAUGGUUGAGUUGUUUGCAGAACACUUAGGGAUCACCUGCCACAGAGCCUCAAGAGGAGAGAAAUUUGACACAAGAACACCAGCCCCUGCGGUGGCACUGGGGAGCCAGCACGUCCAUCACAUCUUCAUGGAACCUGGAGGGACACAUGGAGAAUGGGCAGCUUUCAUCUGAGAUGGCUGCAGAGGAGUCUGCUCCUAGGGACAAGCCAUUUUCGGUGGUGCAAAUGGAGAAGGAUUUGGGAGCUUUCAUCAGCAGAUCAUGUAUUCUUAAUGCACAUAUCGGAAACAGUCUUCUGAGUGAACCCCACCCCAGGCCAGUUCUUCCUCAUCUCACUUCUGAGUGGAUAAUGCAGGCUGACCUUCAGGAACUGGUUCUAAUCUGGCUCAUCAGUUCUCAAGAGACUUCAUUUCCACAGUCCUUGGGUUGGUAACUCCCUGGCACACCAGUCUGUACACAACAGAAAUCAAGAUGUGGCAAACUGCAGGGACCUCUCUAGGAGAAGCAAUACCACCUUCACCCCUGCUCCCUGCUGAGUUCCAGCUGAGGACAGUGGCAUUCAGGAGGACACUUGAGAUACAUCAGCCUGGCCUCUGUUUCAGGAAGCUUGAACACGUACCUGGGUCACUCAGAAUAACCAGAGAGCUGUGUCCAAGACCAUGCCUGGAAGGAUAGUUUUCAAACAGAAUUCAUUGUGUUGUAAUCUCUAUUCAGGCUAUUUUCAUGGUGAGAGGAAUCACCUCAGGAAAUUUUCACAAGUUUGGCUGUAAGGACAUGCAAAAGUAACUGCAGGAUAUGUACAAGUCUGCUUAUCACAAGAUUUCUCUCCCUCCCUCCAUCCCCCAUCUAUCUUUCUCUUUCAUAAUAGCCCCCCGAGAGAUGUCUUUAUAGAAUCUUAGUAUCAAGAUAGGAUGCCAUUUUCUCGAGUUACUGACUUAUUUUUAUUUCAUGGAUAUUUCAAAUUAUAUUUUCUAUUUUGUGUUGCUUGAUAAAGCUUACAUCAAAAUUUGUGAUUAGUCCACAAUAACUUUUACUAAAAUGUCAAUUCAUCCAAUCCAGGAUGACUCCAUCUUUGUUCUGUGCAAAGAAGUUACUCAUUAUAAAGUGGGUUGUUGUUGUUGGUGGUGGUGGGGUGUGUGUGUGUGUGUGUGUGUGUGAAGAACUAAUUUCUUACCUCCUCUGGGACAUUGGAGCCUCACCAAAGAGUUCAUGCAGUCAGGCUAAAUAUGCACAUUGUUUUCCAAUCACAAACCCUCCUUUUCCACUCUUUUAUUUGAUUCCAUACAACAUUCUUCAGGGUAGUUUAUGCCACCUUCUCAGGACCCCACAAAACUGACCAUUUCAGCCAUUUAAAAUUUCCAAGUCUUUAUAAAAUGAAGUAUUUUGGGGCCUUCAGCUAGUCCUCACUCAGUAUUAACUUCCAAAUGCAUGGAAGACAGGUUAUGCUUGUGGGAUUAAAGUUGUACAAUCAGAAACUGAUAUUCAUUUAUAUCUUAUGUGCGCUGAAUUUUGUCUUUAUUGAUUUUCCAGUAUCUCUGUCUUUCCUUCAUCAUAGGAAUACCAGGUGCUUUUCCACUUACAAUGGGGUAAUAGCUGGAUAAAAUUAUCAUAAAUUGACAAUAUCAUAAAAUGCAUUUCAUGAACCCAACCUAUCAAACAUCCUAGCUUAAUAACACAACAUACUGGAGAGUAUGGCUUGUUUUCCCUCAUGAUUGUGUGGUAUGGUAAGAAUCUUCAUAUCACAUGUUGUAGUUUGGGAAAAGAUCAAAAUUGCAAAUUCCAAAUAUUGUUUCUACGGAACACAUGUUGCUUUCAUACUAUCUAAAACCCCCAUGAUCAUAAAUUGAACCAUUCUAAAUAAGAGAACCUCCUGACUGCAACUUGUUAAAAAUAAUGUGUUUCAUUACAAGUUUGCUCCCAGUAGUAGGUUAUGACAAAAUUCUUUCUUAUAUUUUAGUUAGCUGUUCUUUGUCCUUGUCCUUCCUUGUGUGUCAAAUUUCCUCCUUCCUACUUUUAUUGUUUAUAAUCUUGUCAGCUUUUAGAAAUCUUAUAAGAUGUACAAAUACCUUUCUGAAAUUUUGUGAGGGUAAAGAUAAGCACAAAACUAGUGUUUAUUUGGGCCCACAGAAAGUCACCUUGUGAAGAAACAAUAUUUUCCAGAGAUAGAGUAAGUCUUAAUUGUAAUAAAUGCUAAGUUUAAAUUCCUCACCCACAUUUUGUAGAGAUUCUGAAGGAGUCUAAUUUCCUGUGUUUUGAGAGACAUGAUGAAUAAUUGCAAUACAACUCUAUGUCCUUUGAGGAUGAAACAAUUUUCGAGUCAAAAGAUUUAUAAUUAAAAUAGGGACCAUUCUGGGGAGUGUCAUUUAAUCUUGUCUGGUUCCAUUUGGAACAGAAUCAAUUAAUUAGGAAAGAAAAUGACUGUGAUGUUCAUAUUAAACAUAUACGAUAUUUUAUCUUUAGCUUUGUGUUAUAUGUUAAUGGUGAGAAACUCUAGAUCAAGUUAAAAGCAGUCAUGUAACUGACAGAAGUUAAAAGGAAUUAUUUUAGUUGAGAUCACCAAAUUGAAUUUGACAUUGAUAAGCAUAUGAAAGAAAGACAAAGGCCUUGACUCUAGUGAGAGUUUAGAAACCUUCAUUUCUCAAUAUUCAAAGUAGCCCUGUAGGGAGACUUGAAUGUUUAUUAUUAGUUUUAACUUGUAACAUGAGAGGAUUUAUUGGUGACAAGAAAACUACUAAGCAAAGAAAGGAGUUAAGUAAUUAACACCUACUGGUCACAUUGAUCACAGAUGCCCUUAACUCCAGGAGUUCCUUUGUAGUAUAGAUGAUUUUGAACUAGAAGUAGUCAAUGAAAUGAAGUUUCAUGGAGCUGAAAUGCAAGAAGUGAAAAUGCAGAAGCUCAGGGAGCCAGCCAUUACCUCCACCCCUGUGAAGUCUGUGUUCACAUGCUCAGGAGAGCUGAUUACUUUAGCAUUUGUUUGGUGUAGUAAACUUACAGCAAUUCUGAGUACCCCAAAUAUGUGACUAUUCCUCUCUGAUCACAGGUCUUUCUUUUCAUUAGACUCUCCAUUCUUUGGGGGCUCUGGAGGGUCCCUGUGAUGUUCUUCCCAGAAGUACUGGGUCCCUUCCUAUUCUUUCUCUACAGCUGGGUCUCAGCUUCUGUGUGCUUUGUUUCUAAGAGCCAGAACUCAUACCUAAUAGCCCCAAGUAAGAGCUGGUUCAUAUGCAGCACAGGCAUUCGGAUGCCCCUGGGACUGACAAGCCUUUGAGGAGGGUUUUGUCCAUAGCUGCCUUAUAUGAGAGUUUGGAAGCUCAGCUCUCUGGCUCUGCUGUGGGGUCAGCUCUGAAUUUAAUGUAGAAUCCAGACCUCUGCAGGACCAGGCUGGGUUUAUCUUCUUUGGAACUUUGCCUGACUUCAUUUCUUCCUUCCUUUUUUCUCCUCUCUUUCUCCUGGUAAGAGUACUUCCUUAAGAUCAAUAAAAACAGGAAUCCUAUUGUAGAUUCUGCGUUAGGAAAAGAUAACAUGCUUGAUGUUCUUUUAUUCAUUUUGGUUUUUCCUAGUACAUCAAGGGCUUAAGAAAUCCUCCUGGAACAAAUAAAUGAGGACCACAGAACUUGUUUAAAUGUAGAAACAUGGCAAAUAUUCAGGUGCCUAACUUUGCUAUGGGUAAGCCUGAUACAUUUACACAAAAUCCUGAAUGAGAUUCACCAUGAGUUGCCUGACACAGAGAUUUGCUCCUGCUCUGUGCAGGUGGUUUGCUUUGGCUGAUGAACUAGAGGUGUCAUAAAGCUGCU